rnacentral:misc_RNA from 1 species
GAUGAAGAACGUAGCGAAAUGUGAUACUUGGUGUGAAUUGCAGAAUCCCGUGAACCAUCGAGUCUUUGAACGCAAGUUGCGCCCGAAGCCAUUAGGCCGAGGGCACGCCUGCCUGGGCGUCACACGUCGUUGCCCCCCCAUCUACUCCUUCGGGAUUGCGGGGGGCGGAUGAUGGCCUCCCGUGCGCCUCGUCGCGCGGUUGGCAUAAAUGCCAAGUCCUCGGCGACGCACGCCACGACAAUCGGUGGUUGCGAAACCUCGGUUGCCCGUCGUGUGCGGUCGUCGCGCAUCGAGGGCUCGAAAAAAUUGCCGGGCUCCGGCUCGGCUUUCAACGCGACCUCAGGUCAGGCGGGGCUACCCGCUGAGUUUAAGCAUAUCAAUAAGCGGAGGA